rnacentral:rRNA from 1 species
AGGACGAACGCUGGCGGCGUGCUUAACACAUGCAGGUCGAGCGGUAAGGCCCUUUCGGGGGUACACGAGCGGCGAACGGGUGAGUAACACGUGGGUGACCUGCCCUUAGCUCUGGGAUAAGCCUGGGAAACUGGGUCUAAUACCGGAUAUGACCUCAUGACGCAUGUUGUGGGGUGGAAAGCCUUGUGCGGCUAGGGAUGGGCCCGCGGCCUAUCAGCUUGUUGGUGGGGUGAUGGCCUACCAAGGCGACGACGGGUA